CGCCUAACACAUGCAAGUCGAACGAAGUAGCAAUACUUAGUGGCAGACGGGUGAGUAACAUGUGGGUAUCUACCCUUUGGCCUGGAAUAACACGAGGAAACUUGUGCUAAUACCGGAUAAGUCUUUACGGAGAAAGCUUUAUGCACCAUUGGAUGAGCCUGCACUUGAUUAGUUUGUUGGUGGGGUAAUGGCCUACCAAGACUUUGAUCAAUAGCUGAUUUGAGAGGAUGAUCAGCCACAUUGGGACUGAGACACGGCCCAAACUCCUACGGGAGGCAGCAGUGGGGAAUCUUGCACAAUGGAGGAAACUCUGAUGCAGCGAUGCCGCGUGAGUGAAGAAGGCCCUUGGGUUGUAAAGCUCUUUCGUCGGGGAAGAAAAUGACUGUACCCGAAUAAGAAGGUCCGGCUAACUUCGUGCCAGCAGCCGCGGUAAUACGAAGGGACCUAGCGUAGUUCGGAAUUACUGGGCUUAAAGAGUUCGUAGGUGGUUGAAAAAGUUGGUGGUGAAAUCCCAGAGCUUAACUCUGGAACUGCCAUCAAAACUUUUCAGCUAGAGUUUGAUAGAGGAAAGCAGAAUUUCUAGUGUAGAGGUGAAAUUCGUAGAUAUUAGAAAGAAUACCAAUUGCGAAGGCAGCUUUCUGGAUCAUUACUGACACUGAGGAACGAAAGCAUGGGUAGCGAAGAGGAUUAGAUACCCUCGUAGUCCAUGCCGUAAACGAUGUGUGUUAGACGUUGGAAAUUUAUUUUCAGUGUCGCAGCGAAAGCGAUAAACACACCGCCUGGGGAGUACGAC
rnacentral:rRNA from 1 species